AGCUGGAGACUUAGGGAGGAGACGUCUUGUUCUAGUUUCAGGGUCUUGUUCUGGUCUGAGGGUCGUGGAGCUGCAGACCCAGGGAGGAGCAAUUUUGUUGUAGUUCGAGGGUCAGGAAGCUGGCGGCCCAGGGAGGAGAGGUCUUGUUCUAGUUUGAGGGUCGUGGAGCUGCAGACCCAGGGAGGAGCCAUGUUGGUUUGAAUGUUGUGGAUC
rnacentral:lncRNA from 1 species